rfam:Picea glauca, whole genome shotgun sequence.
ACAUGUUUACAACAUAGUGUUAAUGCACUUAAUCCCAUUAAAACUCCGCAGUUUAAUGCGCUCAGACUAGACUAGUACUAGGAUGGGUUACCGCCCGAUAAGUCCUAGUGUUUUACAUGCC